rfam:Fukomys damarensis contig106247, whole genome shotgun sequence.
CGCUUUAUGCAGUGGAAGCAUCAUAGCCAGUGAGGCUUAUCUGAGGCAUGAUUAUUGCUAAUUGAAAACUUUUCCCUAACUGUUAGUGCUCUAUAAAUAGUUCCUAGCAUAUUGCUUAGGAAUAACGAAAAGAAUAAAAAUGUUUGCGCAUUAUGGAUAAAUUUUUGGAAUAUUUUCAA